rnacentral:rRNA from 1 species
CUCGCCCCGCCCCGCCCCGCCUGUCCCGCUCGCCGUGGCCGUGGCCGAUGACCGCGGCCCUGCCGUCCCGCCCUGCCGUCUCGCCCGUCCCGCCCGCGCUCGCACGUCCCACCUCCUCCUCGCCCUCUCUCGAUCUCCUCUGUGAACCCUAACCCCGCGCUCGCACGCUCGCCCUCUCGCCUCCGCCUCUGCUCAUCCUCGCGCCGCCGCCUCCGCCUCUGCUGGCCCUCGUGCCGCCGCCACCGCCUCUGCUGGCCCUCGUGCUGCCGCCACCGCCUCUGCCUCUGCUCGCCCUCGCGCCGCCGCCACCGCCUCUGCUUCUGCUCGCCCUCACGCCUCCGCCUCCGCCUCUGCUCGCCCUCGCGCCGACGCCUCCACCUCUGCUCGUCCUCGCGCCGUCGGGCCGUUUCCUCCUCCACGCCGCCUUGGUGCUCAUCAGGAAAAGCGCGGCUCGGCGCCGACCCUCGCGAGUGAGGUAGGACGCGCGCAGGAGGGAGCGGCGGAGCAAGGUGGGGCCGGUCGAGGUCUCUGUCAAUCUGCUGUUGUGGUCAUCGAUUUGCAGAUUCGUCGGGUGUUGCCGGUGCCUCCUUUGAUCUGACCCGGUUGCGUCUUCGUUCAUGGAUCUGAGUUUGGGAGAGAUACAACAGAGAAGACCACCAGAGAAACGGUCGUCCCGGACCCAGACUAUCAUCGCUAUACUUGGUGAGCUCUAGAGGGAUAUCUGGUGUGUCUGCAUAUGCAUAAAAUCUUCUUGCCGCUGCACCUGUAGACCUACUGGGGCUGCUUCUCUUGUUUCAUGAUUCGACGGAGAGCUCAUUUCAUGUUUUGGAUCUCUUGCCAGGUUUGUUUAUGUUUUGGAUUGGAGCAGCGACACAAGUAGGGAGAGGUCGUUGCCUGGACUGCUUCUCCUCUCAUCAUCGUGGCUUGCAGGUCGCCACCGUCACAAAUGUUACUUUUCAUUUACAUUCACAUGAUGUUGUAGUGUUCCAGGCAUGAAAACGAUAAAAUAUUGUGGCCGGCUGCCACCGACCGACUCGAGCUCGCUUCAGCCUCCUCCUACGAUCCUGCAGCUACUACCUCCCCAAGCAAAGUCAACCUACAACAACAAGGAUAUCCCUUUAGCAGCAGAAGCCUCUAAAGAUCACUCUAAUGUGGCUUACAUUGUCACUCCUCUUGGAUUGCAUGAGCUUAUGGUGGAUUACAAGGUGUGGAGGCCGGCUCUCUCGGUUCACUCAAGAGUACCUUUGUUCUGCUGUAGCUCAAAACGUAAGAUGCCAGAGCCACGACGCGAGUGCGUCUGCUUCCCGUUAGGAGAACAUGGUUUGAUGAAAGGAGGGUGAUGGAUGCGCCAUGGGGCAAGUCACCUGGAUUGUGUCGUGUUGGGAGGGUGAUGGAUGUGCCAUGGGGCAAGUCCGUCUGAUGAAUGGUGUGGACGGAAGAGCGACAAUAACUAUGGGGUUGGUCAAAGGUUGAAAGAAAUCUCUUAUGUGUCUUCGGUCUCGACACCACGUGUAGGUAGCCAUCAUUGAUAAUACAAACUUUGAAAAGUUUGUUUCAAGGUUCAUAACUCUGUUGUCAAUGGGGAAAAUGUUAUCUGUUUCAAGUGACAAAACAAACUACUCAUAGCAGGUUCAUGUGAUGUGGCGUAUAAAAGGUCGAACGUCAAGACGAUCAGGUGUAUGUAUCCAAAAAUAUGCUUUUGUGGAACUAUAUAGGUUCUUUGUCUCACACUGCUGUUGUGACUUUCUUUUCCUGUAUGAAAAGUACACUAUCUAUAUCAAACUUGAUGUGGAUUGAUCGACCUUGCUCGCUUUUGGCACAAGUAUAUAUUUCCAUUUCC